UACACAUCUGGCCAGGUCAACAAAAC
rnacentral:misc_RNA from 1 species